CAGCAACAUGCAGUAGACAUAGGGUGACAUUGAAAAAAGAGGCAGUGGGGUCUAAACACAUACCUGGAUUAUAAUGCUGUAUGAUUGAAGAUGACCAUUUGUAUCGCUGUUAUUCAAUUGCAACAUCUUAUACAAAAAGUGUAUCCCAUGUAAGGUGUCAAUGGAAAAA